rnacentral:tmRNA from 1 species
GGGGGUGUUCCGGAUUCGACCUCAAGUUGGAACGUCUGGCUGCAUGUAGAGGAUGAUGGUUGGCCUCUUAAAUCGUCCAUCAAAAACACAAAUGGCACACACGAAGAAAUGCCUCUAGCUGCAUAGAUCAGCUACGUCUCCCCACCGAUACUCGCUAGGUGGUGCGAGGCGACGACUAGCGAGCAUAGCUGGGAACGGAUGUCUGUUGCGUCCUAGCCGUACUUCAUCAGCGGGCUGGCCUCAAAGGUAGCGCGGUUUCGUCGCGACCCAGAGGUGAGAUCAAAAACGAGAACAAACAUGUAGACGCUUUUCGAGAAGGCUCGAGGGACGCGGGUUCGACUCCCGCCACCUCCACCA